rfam:Omnitrophica bacterium GWA2_52_8 gwa2_scaffold_21841, whole genome shotgun sequence.
GCUGGGGUAGCUCAGUUGGUAGAGCACGUCCUUGGUAAGGACGAGGUCACGGGUUCGAUCCCCGUCUCCAGCU